GCCAAUGAUGAUAUGUCCAAAGUUUUGAGGUGUAGAUGGCUCCCAGUCCCUGCUUUUGCAGGGAGAACCUACUUGGAGUGCUACAUUCAACUGAUAUUGAUGACUAUUCUGAGGA
rnacentral:snoRNA from 1 species